AUUCGGGCGUCGUGUGUAUAAAUUGUCCUUGCUAUAGCAUUCAGUUAGGAAGCUGGCGUACGUAAUAUGCAAAACAUUUGUGGUCUUCUUAUAGCCAAAAUGGAGCCACCCUUUCUCAGUCUCAAAACAAUGGAACAUAUAAGGUCAGGUUCUCUACACCCUGAUACGGAUGAGGUAUCUAAAGCAUACAUUCAGACUAUUGUUCCAUCUCUAUCGUCUCAGGGUAAGGGAUGGGGUAACAUUUGCCGAGUUUUCUCGCAAAACAACCAAUCAGUACUAUUAGACAGUUGCAGUCUAAUAGAUAACCAUCAUCUAAGUUCGUUAGGCAUGUGUUAAAUGCUUGUUGUGAAUUGAAGCCAAGAAAUGGUGGUCCCUUGUGAAAGAGCAGUGAUGUGCCACAAUAUA